UUGGAAGAUGCAUCUUAUCAGAUAAAAGCCACCAACAACAGUGACUCCUAGGAGAAACCAUCAUUCUUCCUCUGCUAAAGUGGGAACCCAAGGCCCAGUCCCAGCCUGGGGUUAGCCAUACGUGACACCAGGCAUAGCUUCACUAGCAAGCUCUUAAUCGCCACUGUGUUCCCUAGCAAAUCUCAGGGCCCGCUCAGUUCAUCAUACCCAGUCAGCAUUGGGAUGAAGGAGGACGGCACUGUCAUGAUGAGAACACUGUGAAGGAGGAUGGCACUGUCAUGAUGAGAACACUGUGUCCUUAGAAGAUGAAGCCUUCAACACUGAACCUUAAAACCAAGCCAUCCAGCUCCUGCCAGCUCCUUGUGGUUGCCUGUGGCUCCAUGGAACUGCCACAUCAAGUAAUGAACCUCAAGGUGAACCAAACCAGGAUACCACACACAUCACACCAGCCCUCCUUUGGGAAAUGCAGACCUGUCCCAGGAGUUUCAGGCAUCCUGUGUUCAUCCUGCAUCGCCUCGUUGAAGAAGUAAAACUACCUGCUGCUGAGAACUCUGAAAAGGAGCUGCAAACGUCGAGGUUCAGAGGAACCAGGAAUCCUGGCCUGCCAUCCGUACAGCCUGCUGACCUCCAGGUGGAUGUGUGAAGCAAGGAGCUGUGCCCUGGAAGCCCCAGAUGAGUGUGUGGGUCAUGUGCUGCAAGCUCCCAGGUAACAAACUGGUCUCUUCAGUGCUGAAAUACCGCUUCAGAUGCUUAACGUGUUCUGAACUGUUUGUUUUUCAAGGUUGCAGGGGUCCGUUUCCGUGCUGUCUGCCGAUGGUGCUGCCUGAAGGAAAACCAUGGAAACGGAGUUUGACAGGCUCACAGGGACCCACGGCUGCCAGAGCCGCUGCCUUUGAGCGCCUGAUGAAGACAUCACAGAGCAAACACAACAUUAAAACGCUGCUGGCUGCUUUGCAUCACUUAGAAUGCAAAUCUCUUUGUUCUGCUCGGCCCUUGCGUUUUGUAGCCGAGGAAUCUGUGCUAUCAUCUAACAUGGAUUUGCUGACCUUUCUUCCCUCGCUGUCCGUUCUCCUAAAAAAAAAAAAAUAUUUAAAAAAUAUGGUAAAAGAUCAGCUUUUGUGGGAAGGAGGGUGGCGUGGGUCUGUGCAUUUGAAAUGGCCCCAGUUUUUUUCAGUUCCUGGGAUUUCUGUGCACAAAUUAAACACCCAUAUUGCAGAGCAGGCUGGGUUGGGUUGCUUUGUUGCUCCCUGUGUAUUAUUUGACUUGGAUUCAUUUACAUGGCAACUCACAGGGGUAGAUUUUAUGUCAUCUUUAUGCCACAGAUUAAAAGGUAAAAGUAAUCCUUUAUUUGCACAGCACAUCCCCUCCAACCCUUUAAGCCGUACAGAUGAAAAUAGAGGAGAAAAAUGCAAACUCUCCCACCACCAUAAUGCCUACUUUAUAACUUUUUAUGCUAAAUUUAAGUGUGUGGUUAUUAUUCCGCCCUCCAUUUGUAGGUGGCCUGUACUUUUAACUGCAGUUUCUGAUUGCAGUCACUGUCAGACCUUUGAAAUGCCCCACACCUUUGUGCUCAGAUGUGGGAUUUGGGUGGCUCCUGACAGGCUGAGCUAUGCAUGGGGCCAUCAGGAAGGCUUUUUUGCU
ensembl:lncRNA